rnacentral:rRNA from 1 species
UACGGAGGGUGCAAGCGUUAUCCGGAUUCACUGGGUUUAAAGGGUGCGUAGGUGGGCAGGUAAGUCAGUGGUGAAACCUCCGGGCUUAACCCGGAAACUGCCAUUGAUACUAUCUGUCUUGAAUACCGUGGAGGUGAGCGGAAUAUGUCAUGUAGCGGUGAAAUGCUUAGAUAUGACAUAGAACACCAAUUGCGAAGGCAGCUCACUACGCGAAUAUUGACACUGAGGCACGAAAGCGUGGGGAUCAAACAGG